rnacentral:lncRNA from 1 species
GGUUUUGGUGGCUUGGGGGCUGAUAGGCGCUUUAUGGGAGAUCUUACAUCCUCUAGCUGCUAACCGAUCGCCUAAUGAUAUUAUUCCAUUUCUGCCGUGAUCAUCAUCUAUGUAAAUUGCUAUAACAUGUCUCCAUUCAUAGUAUUCAACUAUGUCUGCUAUGGCAGCCAUUUGAUAAAGAUCACUGUGAGUUGUACGGACAAAGAACGGAUAUUGAAGUGAAGAUAAUGUCGGAUCAGUAGCUGUGAAUGACAGAAGAGGAACUUGAAGCUCGUUCGCCACAUGGGAAAUCACAUGAGCUAAAACCGAGCUUUGGGGGCCGAUUAAGGCCACGGCUUCUGUCUCCAUGACUUAUUUACCUGCCAUCAUACUUAGGAACCCACUGUAAUUGGAGUCAUGAAAAGUUAUUUUCAACUUGGUUCCUUUAAGUAUAGUUGGAUCAGAAUUAACAUCUUCAAUUGCAGCCUGUAAAGCUAUUUUCGCCACUUUUCCAAUGAUGGAAUCAAAUGUCAAUAUAGACGCAACAUUUACGACAUCCGGUCUUGUAGAAACACUGGUAUUGUUCAUUCCUUCAGUAAAACAUCCACUGAAAUUAACCACCAAAACUACCAAUGCCCAAACCAAAUUCAUAGGCAUUUCUCUAACAAACAAGCCGGU